GCUCCGGUGGUCAAGUGGUUAGAGCGUCUGCCUCGGAUGCAAGAAGUCAUGGGUUCGAUCCCCAGUUGAGUCA